AGAAAGGAAGCUUCUUCUCCAAAAUUUAAAAAAUUUUGAAAAUUAUUCCUUCUGAAAAAUCAUCGCGUUCUUGACCUCGAAGCUGACUGCUGAAUGCGAUUAGGAAAGAAGAUUCCUGAAGAUGCACCAGACUGAUUCUGGCAAGCCGUCUGUCGUCUGGAUAUGCACUGUUGUUCGUCAUGGUCAGCAAUCUUCUACGUUCGUCCUUUCGUUUUCCUGACCACGAUGAUGACAAGCAGCUCUCAUGCUCAGGAUUGCCAUCUGUUGAUGAAUACCACUCUGAGGCACACUCACGAGCGAAGGUGUUUGAGAAUCCAUGUCGGAAUGAUGGUCGUGUUGGCCUAAAGGUGCAUUACAUUGCCGAUACUCGCCACCUCCACCCUGGAACAUGUUCAAUUUCUGUUUCUCGUAUGGAAGGACCGAACAGGUUGUUUUCCUGCCUCAGUGGACCACUCAAGACUAAACAGCACUGAUGGAAGAAGAUUUGCCGUGAAUCUCGUUCACAUAAUCAGCCUGUUUAAUUGCUGUACUGAGGUGACUGCUUCAUAACAAUGACCAAGCAGCAUUAAUUUUUGCAUAGUACUGCAGUGCCCCUAAAAUUGGAGAAUAUCGAAGUUCUCUGAUAGCAUUGUGAUUCAUUUGUGAAUAAACAUCACUACUCUUUUUGAGUAGCAUA